GAUCAUGGCUCAGGAUGAACGCUAGCGGCAGGCUUAACACAUGCAAGUCGAGGGGUAGAGGAAGCUUGCUUCCUUGAGACCGGCGCACGGGUGCGUAACGCGUAUGCAACCUACCUUUUACAGAGGGAUAGCCCAGAGAAAUUUGGAUUAAUACCUCAUGGUAUAUAUUAUUCGCAUGUUUGAUAUAUUAAAGUUCCAACGGUAAAAGAUGGGCAUGCGUCCUAUUAGCUAGAUGGUAAGGUAACGGCUUACCAUGGCAACGAUAGGUAGGGGUCCUGAGAGGGAGAUCCCCCACACUGGUACUGAGACACGGACCAAACUCCUACGGGAGGCAGCAGUGAGGAAUAUUGGACAAUGGUCGGAAGACUGAUCCAGCCAUGCCGCGUGAAGGAUGAAGGCGCUCAGCGUUGUAAACUUCUUUUGUACGGGAACAAAAUGCGACCUGCGGGUUGUACUGAGGGUACCGUAAGAAUAAGCACCGGCUAACUCCGUG
rnacentral:rRNA from 1 species